UGGCUCAGUGGUAGAGCGCAUGCUUAGCAUGCAGCAGGUCCUGGGUUCAAUCCCCAG
rnacentral:tRNA from 1 species